ACGAGACUCAUCCGAGGCCUCGUAAUCGGAAUGAGUACACUUUAAAUCCUUUAACAAAAAUCCAUUGGAGGGCAAGUCUGGUGCCAGCAGCCGCGGUAAUUCCAGCUCCAAUAGCGUAUAUUAAAGUUGUUGCGGUUAAAAAGCUCGUAGUCGAAUCUGUGUCCCGCGCUGUCGGUUCACCGCUCGCGGUGUUCAACUGGCAUGUUUUGCGGGACGUCCUACCGGUGGGUCCCCCAAUUGCAAUCCCGUCGCGGUGCACUUAAUUGUGUGUCGAGGUGGGCCGGUACGUUUACUUUGAACAAAUUAGAGUGCUUAAGGCAGGCUCAAAUUUCGCCUGAAUAUUGUGUGCAUGGAAUAAUGGAAUAGGACCUCGGUUCUAUUUUGUUGGUUUUCGGAACUCCGAGGUAAUGAUUAAUACGGACAGAUGGGGGCAUUCGUAUUGCGACGUUAGAGGUGAAAUUCUUGGAUCGUCGCAAGACGGACAGAAGCGAAAGCAUUUGCCAAAAAUGUUUUGAUUGAUCAAGAACGAAAGUUAGAGGUUCGAAGGCGAUCAGAUACCGCCCUAGUUCUAACCAUAAACGAUGCCAGCUAGCGAUCCGCCGAAGUUCCUCCGAUGACUCGGCGGGCAGCUUCCGGGAAACCAAAGCUUUUGGGUUCCGGGGGAAGUAUGGUUGCAAAGCUGAAACUUAAAGGAAUUGACGGAAGGGCACCACCAGGAGUGGAGCCUGCGGCUUAAUUUGACUCAACACGGGAAACCUCAC
rnacentral:rRNA from 2 species